CCAACGUUUUAACCACUAGGCUACCUGCCGCCCCCAAUUGACUCAUUCUGUUGAUUAAUACAACUUUGAUUUCUAGUUUUAUAUUGAUCUGUUAGCCCCUCUCUCUCUUUGUAGCUGGAGGAGGGCCUAGCCAGUCACCAGCCUGUCCUGGCCGCGUUGACUCAGACAGUUGAGAGGAUCAUCGUGCAGCUGUCAGCCCCUGACGGGCCCCUGCAAGAGAACAAGCUGGAGGCCCUGGGGCAGCGCUGUAGAGCCGUGCACAGAAAGGUGCUGGACAGACAGCAUGGGUAACCAUGGAGAUGAACACCAUGGAAACUAAGCAUAGUCGCCAUAGAAAUAGGACAGCUUGUUAGGAGUGAUAAGAAGGGCAUUUUGGGCCCCAAAAAUAGUUUACAGUGGAAAAAAGAAUGUUUAGAAAUUGGAUUAUGUUUAAAUGAGCAGGAUAAACUCGUGCAGAUAUGUAUCGAAAUGUAUGAAUAUUUGCUGCAUCAAUGUCCUAAGCGGUAAUGAUAUCAGCAUGACAGAUCAGCAUACAAAUGUAAUGUAAAUGUUAGGAUUUGGCCUACACACGGCAGCUGUAGGGAAAUUGAGAUCUUAAUGUGUGUGUGUGUGUGUCUAUGUGUUUGUGCGGCUUGCGCCUGUUUAUCUGUGUAUGUGUGUGUUUGUCCUUAGGCUGACUGGAAGUGACCCUGCCCUAUUAGAGCUGGUGAGGUAGUGGAGACCUGGCUCUGUGGCUGGAGCAGGCUGAAUGUGCUGUGAGCUCUCUGCCCGUCACUGCCACCAACAGCAACCUCAAAGAACUUAAGACUCUGGCUGAAGAGAUGGACAUCCAGAAUGAGUGUCUUGGUUGGCUGAACAAGAACGGCCCCCAGAUUCUAGCCAAUCAGAGCGUGAGUCAUCAGGAGAGAGACAAGCACAUGAGCAAACUCAGGACCAUCAAUCUCAACUGGAACAAGUUGUUAGAUAAAGUCGGUGGAGGCGGAGGGGAACCUCCAGAGUCAUGGUCAGUUCCAGGACAAGAUUAACAGAAUGACCGACUGCGUCCAGGUCACACACCAGACCUCAGUGGGAGAGGGGUCAGCCCUGCAGAGAGCCAGUUUAAAAUUAAGACACUCAGUUUCGAUGGGCCCAUCAGAAGUACAGAUGGCCAGUCUGAUGAGUGACCACCACCCGCAGUCCAGAGCUGGUGGCCCCCACAGACCCGAACAAGACAGCCACAGAGCUGGUUGACUGGCUGCUGCGCAUCACCCAGAUGCUUAAGUCCAACAUCGUUACGUGGAGAAAGUGUAUAGCCAAUGGGACAACACUCAGCAAGGUGUGGAGGCGUGACUCCAGCAGCUGGAUAACAUGAUUGGCCACAGCGAUCAGUGGGAGAAGCAGAGACAGGAACUGAAUGCUCUGAAUGGUCAGAACAUGGGCACCUGCACAACCUUCACCUCUCCAGGGAACCCCUGACCAUACAGCUCAGUGACAACAAGAUGAGAGAUACAGCGACCCUUCCCCUUUGACCUUUGGACUACUGAUACUCGGCCCCAUUAGCCAGAUGGGUGGAAUGGCUUCUAAUCAAUGAUAAAGGACCUUGGAAGAGGUCAGGGUACCGUGGCAACCUUUAACGAGCUGUCCAAUCAGCUCCUGCGAGAGUAUUCCGCUGACGACACAAGGAGGAUCAAAGAUAUCACAGAGAAAAACAACAUAGCCUGGAACUGCAUCAACAAGAGGGCUAGUGACCACCAGGCCAAGCUGGACAGUGGCCUGAAUGCUCUGCAGAUGUCCCUCAGCGAGCUGGAGGCCUUUCUUAAGUGGCUGCAGGAGGCAGAGACUACCGUCAACGUCCUGGCUGACGUCUCCCAGAGGGAGGAGCUAUCCCAGGACUCUGCCCACGUCAAGAAGCUGAGAGGGCAACUGGAGUUAGGCCACGGCCCUUUGAUCUGCUGAUUGUUUGUAGGUUAGUCUCACUUGAAGGAGCAUUGAUGCUCUAAAAACAGCCUGGUCAUACAUGGUCUUCUACGUGGGCUCUUUUCUCCAUCUCUGUUUACACCAAUAGGACGCCCACGUCAUUGUCAUUUCAAAUUGACGUUUCUGGAAAUUGAUUUUUUUCUCCAUUCUACCCUCUACCCCUUCUUAUCCUCUCUCCCCCUUCUCCUCCUUCCAGUGGUGUGAAGUAAAUGCUUUAAAGUACUACUUAAGUUGUUUUUUGGGGUAUCUGUACUUUACUAUUUAUAUUUUGGAUAACUUUUACUUUUACUUCACUAAAUUCCAAAAGAUAAUGAUGUACUCCUUACUCCAUACAUUUUCCAUGACACCCAAAAGUACUCGUUACAUUUUGAAUGCUAUGCAGGACAGAAAUGGUCCGAUUCACACACUUAUCAAGAGAACAUCCCAGGUCAUCUCUACUGCCUCUGAUCUGGCAGACUCACUAAACACAAAUGCUUUGUUUCUGAAUGAUGUCUGAAGUUGAUGACGACCGAGGUCGGAGUGCAUGCGCCCAGCGCACCGCAAGGAGUCGCUAGAGCGCGAUGGGACAAGGACAUCCCGGCCGGCCAAACCCUCCCCUA